UACGGAGGGUGCAAGCGUUAUCCGGAUUCACUGGGUUUAAAGGGUGCGUAGGUGGGCAGGUAAGUCAGUGGUGAAAUCUCCGGGCUUAACCCGGAAACUGCCAUUGGUACUAUCUGUCUUGAAUACCGUGGAGGUGAGCGGAAUAUGUCAUGUAGCGGUGAAAUGCUUAGAUAUGACAUAGAACACCAAUUGCGAAGGCAGCUCACUACGCGAAUAUUGACACUGAGGCACGAAAGCGUGGGGAUCAAACAGG
rnacentral:rRNA from 1 species